rnacentral:lncRNA from 1 species
UCAAAAUAAAUACACGUACAUGUUCCUACAUGGUCCAAGAAAUGCUAGUAAAAUCAAAUCGGACAAUUAAAUAAAAUGGCCGAAAUGGAAAUACAUAACACUUGAUGACGACAAUUUGGGCGUAUCGACAUCAUAAACAAGUUACUACAAUGUUGAGUCUAAAAAUAACAUAUUUUUAUACACUAAAACGAUCACAUAUAUAAGUGACCUAUAACAAGAAUCCGGAAAGUCGAAAACUAUAAAAAUUACCAAACAUUUUUCAUAGGAAAAAUGAACUUAUUUAAGUUGCUACUUGGUAACAUUUGGCAAAAAUUGCAAGAUUAUGUUAAUGGACUCAUGAAGUUAGAAUUGGGCCUGUCAAAGUUAGUAAUGGGCUAGGCCCAAAUUCCUUAAUACAUGGGCUAGGGCCCAAUGACAAUAUAACAUGGGCUCGGCCCAAUAACAAUAAAAGACAUGGGUUAGGCCCAAUAACAUAGAUAACAUGGGUUCAGCCCAAUGACAUGGGCUCGGCCCAAUAACAUUAAAACAUGGGUUAGAUACGAUAACAUAGAUGACAUGGGCUCGGCCCAAUGACAUGGGCUCGGCCCAAUGACAUGGGCUCGGCCCAAUGACAUGAGCAAAGGCUCAGUGACAUGCGUGCACUGCACGAGAAUGUGUGAAGAACGAAGCCGAUCACACAUAAGUCAAUACACAUAGAAUACAUGAAUACGCUUAUGAAUUCAAUAUGUAUAGAAUAUAUGUAUAUACAUAACAAUCGAGCGAGUAAACUAUCAGCGCUCUAAAAUACAAAGUUGUUCCAAAGAUAACAAAUGAGAACAUAAUAAAGAAUUCGAGAUGAACAACUUGUACGAGGUCCGAAAGACCUAGUGUCUAACGAGAUUAGUACACAUGUAGGUUAUUGACACGUACGGACGCUCACUUGGAUAUCAUAAUACACGGAACGCAAACUUGUGAGUUCAUGUCCCUCCUUUCACUGAUUUCAAUGAAACAGGUCUUGAGCCGGUGAUUCACUAUGGGAUUCGGGAAAACAAAUGACAACGAUGGCCACUUUUGGAGGGUUUGUCUUUUAUAUCCCAACUUCGUAUGGGUAUAUAGGGGACAAAACCUCACUAUGUUUUAUGUCAAAAACUAUCUUUUGUUAUAUGUAAAAUAACUUAGAACUAUGCUAUGUCAAAUGUUGUUGAAACUUGGAAACUAUGUUGAAAGCUUGUAAUCUUUUGUUGAAAACUAUAUAUCCAUGGCAUCGUUGUUGGU